CGGGACACGUGGUAUCCUGUCUGAAUAUGGGGGGACCAUCCUCCAAGGCUAAAUACUCCUGACUGACCGAUAGUGAACCAGUACCGUGAGGGAAAGGCGAAAAGAACCCCGGCGAGGGGAGUGAAAAAGAACCUGAAACCGUGUACGUACAAGCAGUGGGAGCCUCUUUAUGGGGUGACUGCGUACCUUUUGUAUAAUGGGUCAGCGACUUAUAUUCUGUAGCAAGGUUAACCGAAUAGGGGAGCCGAAGGGAAACCGAGUCUUAACUGGGCGUUAAGUUGCAGGGUAUAGACCCGAAACCCGGUGAUCUAGCCAUGGGCAGGUUGAAGGUUGGGUAACACUAACUGGAGGACCGAACCGACUAAUGUUGAAAAAUUAGCGGAUGACUUGUGGCUGGGGGUGAAAGGCCAAUCAAACCGGGAGAUAGCUGGUUCUCCCCGAAAGCUAUUUAGGUAGCGCCUCGUGAAUUCAUCUCCGGGGGUAGAGCACUGUUUCGGCAAGGGGGUCAUCCCGACUUACCAACCCGAUGCAAACUGCGAAUACCGGAGAAUGUUAUCACGGGAGACACACGGCGGGUGCUAACGUCCGUCGUGAAGAGGGAAACAACCCAGACCGCCAGCUAAGGUCCCAAAGUCAUGGUUAAGUGGGAAACGAUGUGGGAAGGCCCAGACAGCCAGGAUGUUGGCUUAGAAGCAGCCAUCAUUUAAAGAAAGCGUAAUAGCUCACUGGUCGAGUCGGCCUGCGCGGAAGAUGUAACGGGGCUAAACCAUGCACCGAAGCUGCGGCAGCGACACUAUGUGUUGUUGGGUAGGGGAGCGUUCUGUAAGCCUGCGAAGGUGUACUGUGAGGUAUGCUGGAGGUAUCAGAAGUGCGAAUGCUGACAUAAGUAACGAUAAAGCGGGUGAAAAGCCCGCUCGCCGGAAGACCAAGGGUUCCUGUCCAACGUUAAUCGGGGCAGGGUGAGUCGACCCCUAAG
rnacentral:rRNA from 1 species